ACUUCCGGGGUGGGCCGGGCGCAGGGCUGUCGGCCGGUGAGGGGCGAGCCGCUGUCGCUGGAGGGUGGCCCGGGAACCUGAGGCCUUGCAAGCUAUGUCUGAGCUCAGCGAUGAAGCCAGCGAGCCGGAGCUCCUGAAGCGCAGCCUGUCCAUGUGGCACGGGCUUGGUGCCCAGGGCAGCCCAGAGGAGCUGGAUGUCCCCUUGGAUCUUCACACAGCUGCCUCCAUUGGCCAGCAUGAGGUGGUGAAGGAGUGUGUGCAGCGCAAGGUGCAGAGCUUGAGAUGAAAGACAUCCAUGGCUGGACUGCACUCUUCCACUGUACCAGUGCCGGCCACCAACAGAUGGUCAAAUUUCUUCUGGAGAGUGGAGCCAAUGCCAACGUGAGGGAGCCUGUAUAUGGAUACACUCCUUUGAUGGAAGCAGCUGCCUCUGGCCAUGAGAUAAUUGUGCAGUAUUUUCUGAAUCACGGAGUCAAAGUGGACACAAGAGACCACAGUGGAGCGACAGCCUGCAUGUUAGCCAGGCAGUUUGGUCACAUGAAGAUUGUAGCCUUGAUGGAAACUCACUCACCUGUACUGCCCAAGAGCCUCUACCGUAGCCCAGAAAAAUAUGAAGAUCUGAGCUCUUCAGAUGAGUCCUGGCCUGUUCCUCAGCGCCAGAGGCCCUGCCGAAAAAAGGGCCUCAGUAUCCAUGAGGGGCCGCGUGCCCUGGCCAAGAUCACAGCUAUUGGACUCGGAGGGAAGACUCAGACCACCUAUGAGCAAGUCCCUCCACGGGGCUACGUGACCUUCACCAGCAGUGAUGAGAAUACCAUGGAAAGCGAGGGCCUCUGCUACAGAGACGUCACUUCCCCCAUCAAUGAACAGGAUGUGGAGAGCAGUAGCAGCAGCAGCCGGGAGGAACCCACUUUCUGUGCCAGUCUUGGGCCUGUGUGGAGGAGCAGCAGCAGUGAUGGCCUAGCAAGAGCCCAGGGUCUCAGCAGUGAAGCCUCCAUAGAAAGCAAUGAGGAUUCUGAUCAUGCCCGGAAAAGCUCGGUUCGAAAACAAACCAGGAGUUAUUUGAAGAAUAAGAGUCGUCACGGCAACAGUGAUGGUCAUUGGCCUUCCAGCACAGGGCCUGCUUCCAUUCCAGGGUCUGAACCCCAAACUGAGAAGUCUCCUUACUCAGGACCCCAGGACCUUGCCACACUGCUGGAACAGAUCGGGUGUCUGAAGUACCUGCAAGUGUUCGAGGAGCAGGACAUAGACCUGCGUAUCUUUCUGACUCUCACUGAAAGCGAUUUGAAGGAAAUUGGCAUCACGUGAGUCCCCUAAUGCAUUCCCCCACCCCACCAAUUUCAGCCAUUCUUCCAGCCUGUACACCAGCAGGUAGGAUGUAUAGACAGCAGCCUUUGUGCCCACAUGGCUCCAAGAUGGCCUCGCUGCUGCUGUAUGCUGGACCUUUGAGCUUUGAUAUUUUCAGUUUUUUUUGUGAUUUUAAAAUAUUUUUUUCAUGAUAACUUUCAUAGUUCUGGAGUUGGUAUUUUAUAGCACAGGCUUUUUAUUUCUCAAAAGCUUGAAUAUAAAUCUUUUAAUAUGAAAUCCAAACCAUGUAAUAUGCCUUUUGUCUCAAAACGUUCCAUAUACACAACUGCAGUUUGUGACUUGGCUGUGACUCAAUGGGUGGCUCUCACACUGGAAGUGCUCUCCCCUAGGUGGCUCUGGUGCAGCAGUUGUCCUGCUUUCAGCAGGGCUUCCUCGGUGUUUGCCUAUCUGGGAAUGUCUGACUCUGUCCUGCACUUUGGAAGGACAGUUUUCCCAGGUAAAGGAUUCUUGGUGACAGCUGUUUGCUUUGGCACUGUGGCUGCUGCAGCCUUCCAGAGUUUCGAAUGAGAACUUUACUGAAGCUCCCUGCAUGGGACGAGCUGCUUUUCUUUUGUUGUUCCAAGGUGCUGUAAGUCUUUAGCUUAGCCAUGUGUCCUGGUAUUCAUCAUCUGUGGAGUUCAUUUGGCUUCACAGAUGUUCAUAUAUUCGAUCAGGAGUGGAAGUUUCCAUCUGCCAGCUCUUCAGACCCUCUGCCCUCCUAUCACUGAGGCACUCGUAAGAAAGACCUGGCCCCAUGUGGUCUCGAGCUUUACUCGUGGGUUUAUUCUCUUACUCCUCAGACUGAAUUCCGUUGUGUUCCAGUUCCAUCAUUCUGUUCUUUGUCCGCUUAUGUAAAGCUGCCUCUGCCUGUUUUAGGAGGCUUUUCCUCAGUUUCCUUACUUCUUUGCUUGUGUUUUACAUUUCUCUCCAUUGUCUCUCCAUUUUGUAUUACUUCCACAUCAUCUUUUAGUUUUGAUUAUCUUUAAGAUGGUUGUUUCAAGGCCUUUGUCUAGCAGACCUGCUGCAGGGCUUUUUUUGGAACUUCUGUGGUUUAUUCUCUUGUAAAUGAACCAUACUCUACUUCUUGUCUUUUAAUUUUGUUGUUGAAAUGGAUAGUUAAGUCUCAUGAACUCAGGGCCUUUCCCUUCCCCCAUAAGACUUAGGAUCUUAUGAUCACUGAAGGUGAGGUCUUCUUGUGCUUCACAGAACCUACUACAAAUGAGCUGUGAAGUAGCAUGUGAAAUAUUACGUUAAGCAACUUUCCCUCAACUGCAACUCUAUAAGAAUGGAGGCUUUGUUUCUGUUGCUCAGUUUUGCAGUUCUACUACCUAACAAACUGUCACAAGACAUCCAGCACCCAACAUAUACAAAACUUCCUUAUUCAUUGAUAAAAUUUAGAUGCACUAUAACCUCUUUAAUGAAUGUGUAAGGAAAUAAAGAGAUGAUUGAAAAAUUGUUGGCCAAGAAUUUCUUCCAGCUGUAUUAUCAGAGAGAGGAGGACAAACAAGACUUAGAAGACAGAUGAUCUCCAGGGAUCUGUUUUUUUUUAAACUUACUGUUGUUGGCUGCUUCUGUGCACAGGACUAGUUGGAGGGUGAAACCUGAAGGUCCCCUUAGAGCCUGUACCUUUCCCUAGGCACAAGUGAUGACUUUCCUCCCAUCUGUAGUUGCUUUGAGACAAGUCACUUCUCUGUAGUCAAGGGUGAUCCUGAACUCUCAUGCCCACCUUCCAAAGUGCACCAAUGUUCUGGGCAUGCAGGUACUUUCAGUGUCCUAGACUUUGUUGUUGACUCCCUACACAGGGAAAAUGAAGAAAUAAGAGGUAUUGCCCUUAGAGCACUCCUCACUCCCCCAAUCUCCAAAUCCUACCUCUUCAGGCAGAGUGAAUGAGUGGCUUAUAGCAGUGGCCCUCAGUAACCAGAAGUUCUGUCUUGAUACUGGGAGGACAGGGUCUGCCUUGCCUACCCUGCUUCCUGAAUGUUGUGUCGGGAUGGCUGCUGCUAUGUAGAGCUGAGCUUAAGCCUAAGCUGGCUGCACUCACUCACGGAAGCCUGCAGUGACUCCCACGGCACUUGUCUGGAGGGGAGAUUCCUGGAGAUCUCCCUUGAGAGCACAGACACAGUUGUCCAAGCCUGAAGCCAAUGAUGGUGGAGGCUUUUUAGACACUCUUGUUUUGGUUCUCUGCCCUAGGAUCUUCUACAACCUCCCUUCUUCAGUUAGGUGUUCCCUAGUGACUGGCCUUGGUGGCAGGUUGGUACCAAGGUCCAUGCACAUGACAGAAGGUAACAUGCACCCUGAUUUACCCACUCAGGUUGUUUGGGCCCAAAAGGAAAAUGACCUCUGCCAUUGCCCGCUGGCACAGCAGUGCCCGCCCACCUAGUGAUGCCCUAGAGCUGGCCUAUGCUGACCGGCUGGAGACUGAGAUGCAGGAGCUUGCCAUUCAGUUGCAUAAAUGCUGUGAGGAGGCAGAGGCUCUGCGUGGCCAGGUAUCCCAGGAGCAGGAAUUGCGGGCUGUAGUAGAGAGCUGCCUCCUGGAGCAGGAUAGUGCCCGAAAGGACAUCCAUGCCCAGCUGCAGGAGGCCCAAACCCUGGCCCAGGAUGCUGCCCUUGUCCUGGACCAGCUGCGGGCCUGUCAAGCUGAGCUGUCAGCUCGAUUGCGGCAGCACCACUCCCCCAGGGAAGGUACUCCAAACCCACACUUUCUCUCAGCAGAUUCCAAAGGCUGGCCCAUUCCCCUGCAGGCCUUGAGCCUCCCUGAGUUGUCAGGAGCCCUGGAAGACCGUGUCCAUGAGAUGGGGCAGGCGUUAUGCUCUGUAACACAGAGCUUGGAGAAACUACAGAUGCUGAAUGCAAAGAAAUGGCGGGAACCGUAGCCAGGAGGGACGAUUCUGACGUUGGGUGAUAAAUCCACCCUGAAGUUAUGUGCCACGCAAGACAGGGCAGUGAGCAGAUGGCUGCGGCAGCCCAGGGAAUAGAAGACCAUUCCAGGGAGCAGCUUAUGGACAGGAAGACAGGACUGCGGUCCCCACUAGGGCAGCUUGGGCCAGCCCUGAGACAGGAUGGAGGGCUCAGCACCCAGAUCCUGGUGGAGAGGCCCAUGCUGGUAGGCAGCUUUGGCCCAGACCAGGCAGGGCUGUAUGGAGAGGUUGUGUCCUGCACAUGCAGGUGCCAUACUGAGGUCUGAUCUUACAGACAAGGUCUGGGGUGCCUAGAAAAUGUACUCUUUGAAAAUAAAAAUUAGAUGCAAGUUG